UGCGGAGGGAUCAUUAG
rnacentral:rRNA from 1 species